rnacentral:rRNA from 1 species
CCUACGGGAGGCAGCAGUGGGGAAUAUUGCACAAUGGGCGAAAGCCUGAUGCAGCGACGCCGCGUGAGGGAUGACGGCCUUCGGGUUGUAAACCUCUUUCAGCAGGGAAGAAGCGAAAGUGACGGUACCUGCAGAAGAAGCGCCGGCUAACUACGUGCCAGCAGCCGCGGUAAUACGUAGGGCGCAAGCGUUGUCCGGAAUUAUUGGGCGUAAAGAGCUCGUAGGCGGCUUGUCACGUCGGGUGUGAAAGCCCGGGGCUUAACCCCGGGUCUGCAUUCGAUACGGGCUAGCUAGAGUGUGGUAGGGGAGAUCGGAAUUCCUGGUGUAGCGGUGAAAUGCGCAGAUAUCAGGAGGAACACCGGUGGCGAAGGCGGAUCUCUGGGCCAUUACUGACGCUGAGGAGCGAAAGCGUGGGGAGCGAACAGGAUUAGAUACCCUGGUAGUCCACGCCGUAAACGGUGGGAACUAGGUGUUGGUGACAUUCCACGUCGUCGGUGCCGCAGCUAACGCAUUAAGUUCCCCGCCUGGGGAGUACGGCCGCAAGGCUAAAACUUACAAGAUAGUGCGNGNGAGNGCGACGACGACGACGAGGAGGAG